UCUGCUUGUAGCUGCUGCUCCACCUCGGA
rnacentral:piRNA from 2 species